AGGAGGGGGCAGCAGCGCCAUUCGCAAAGCCGGCCCGCUCCGCUCCGCUCUCAGGCUCAGGGCUGCGGAGACAGGAAUCGCAGCUUCCCCUGGAAGGGGCGUCCCAGGGGACCUCCGCCAGGCCAGGGGAACCCGGCCUCCGGGCCUGGGUGAACGUGCCUUCCAGACCAUCCUGGCAGGCCGCUGCUCCCUAGAGGCCUAAGGCGCUUGGGACAGCCUCCCACUCUACUCCUGAAUCUCUCCUCCAUCCCGGCCGGCCCCCACCCACCCCUGGUGGAACGGAGACCCCACGUCUUGCUCAGGACCUUCGCCACAAGGCCUCCCUACUCUGCCGCAGUGAGCCCUGCCAGGGAGGCAGAGCAGCAGAGCCCACCCUGCCACCGCCGCAGGGGCCCUCCCCAGGCUGGCCCUGCUGUCCCAAGGACUGAUAGUCACCAGGCUGUACAAAUAUAUCUCCUACAGCACAUCGGAUGCGAAGGGAAAACGGAGGAUCACUAUAUUGCUUAGAACUAAUCUGGUCUUUCUCUUCUGAGCCUCACCCACUAGUUAGUGGGAUGGGAGGAUAAAUGAGAUGUCCAAUCCAGUUAAACUUUGAGCUGAUAUUUUAAACCCUGCAGAAAGUGCUGGGUCUUUAGGAAAAGCGCUCAGUGUCUCUGAGAGCUGCUGCUUGCUCUGUCUCUCACUGCGGAGGCAGGGAUAUGGGGAGCGAGGGGGCUUUCCCCGCCGUGGCAGCAGAGCAGUGGGUUCCUUGGUCCCAUGAAGGUCCCUGGCUGUGUGCCAGCUGCUGCCUGCUGGUCUUUGGGGAGACGUCCUUUUGUGGCCUGUGUCGUGCUGGACCUCCUGGCCUCCAGUACUGAAUGUGUGGCCCAUUCUUCCAGCCCAGGCAGUGCCCCGAGUGGGCUGCAGCCCCAGAGCUCUCCCCGUAUCCCCCAAUGGCUCUCCAGUCUGUUCCUGGGGAGGUCCAGCCCUUGGGCGUGACCGGGCGGUCACCUUGUCUCAUAACAGCAAGCUCACUGGUGGGUCCACUGGUUCCCGACUCAGCAUCUGUGCCCCGUGGGACUGAAGGGAGCUCUGGGAAGCCCCCAGGCUGACCAUAACGCAGCUCCUUUCCGGGGCUGCAGCCUGGGUUCUUAGGGGGCAGCUUGUGAAGUGGCUUCCUCUCGGAGUCCUGAAGGGUGACAUCUCUAACGCUGUCCCUCUGCGGGCCCAGAGAUGGGAAAGCCAGGUCUUCCAUCAACUCUGUUGAUGUCUUGGCUAUUCUCAGCCAGUCCACGUCCUUCUCUUUUUAAAAGAUUCCCAGGUACAGAAAAAGCACGGUGGGCUUUCCCUUGACUUCUUUCUCUCCACAUUUCCUCCUUCCAGACUCCCCUGAACCCUUAGUGACUGGCUUUGGUAUCCAGCUGUGUAUUUUGGAAAUCCCUAGCUCAGCGCUUUAGGAUUCACCUUGAAAUACCAAGGGAAGAGGAAGAAGAAUUUGAAAAAUCCCGUCUCAGAAUAAUGGUCUGGCCUCUCAGGCAGGAACUUUCUGCAUAACCUUAUUUUGAAUGACCAAAGCUCAGCAUUGCCUGGGUGUCUCUUGGGAUUCCUCCUGUAACCGAGUUGAAUCUGCCCACAAUUUUCCCCUCUCCCCAUCUCAUCACGCCUCCUCCCCCUGCAGCCAGAUAUCUAGGGAGAACAGGGAGAGUGGGAACCGGAAGAGAAAGCAUGUUACUGCCUUGAAAUGGGAUCCCCCUUCCCCUGUCUUGCAGUCUGAAGAACUCUGUUCUCAUCAGGUCCAAAUCACUUAGCUUUUCUUCUUUCUCUUAUUGUUCUGUUAAAGCUCCAGCUAUCUAUCUCUACUCUCAUCACUCCCCAGCACACCUCAGUCCACCCUACAUACAGUAUCGUCUCCAGUCCUGCACCUUCAGAUGAGUCGCCUCCAGUGCCCGAAGCAGCCUCCUCACCCUCUGUGUAUCAAGACUGACCUGUGCCCCAGCUAAUCUCUUGGGGAAGAGCAGUGCCUGAUAUAAGGCAAUUAUUACCAUAAGAAGUGACCCCUCCCCUAACUGCCCCCUUUACUGGGUCCAGGGGAGAAGUCUUCUGCACAGAACCCACAAGAGUUUCUACCAAGGGACCAUCUGAAAAACAACUCUAGCCAAAGGAAGCUGUUCAAACACCAUCCAUUUUGACACUUGGCUGGAUUAGCAAGCACCUCUUCCCUCAGAGAGUGGGAAAAUUUCCAGAAUUAGUCUGCCGGCAGAAAGGGAGGUUGAGCAAACAGGCAUAUUGUUUUUUCAUAGCUGUCUCUCUUGCUAAUGUUUGGUCAGCCAGCCGUGCAUUUUUGCAGUGUUACAUAGGCUUACGCUCAGCCUUCAUCAGAGAACAAUUAGGACGAGUGUGGGGGAGGCCACAGGGUCAGGGAUGACAGAUGGGCCUCCACUUAAGCAGGUUAGAAGUUCAGUUGCUCAGGAGGAAGAAGACCCAUCUUUGUCUGGGGAGCACAGGGUUGGGUAGAAAGGGGAAGAAUGGAAAUAAGGCAGAAGGCCUCUCUUUUCUGAAAUAUCCCUUAGGGAUAAGUCCCUAUAUCUUAAGCAGUUGUUUUAGUUUUCCCUGAAGAAGCAUCAGCGGCCCUGGCUGAAUCAAGAAGCCAGAGGCCUGGUGCCAUUCUAAAAUAGCAGCAUUGCUAUGCUUUCCAACUGAGGGAUUACUCCUUGGUGAGCCAGAGAGCUUUGGAACAUCGUUUGGAAGCAAAACC
rnacentral:lncRNA from 1 species